UGAGGUUUGGUUUGAAAGAUGGAAUAAAUAGCUUCAUUCGAAUCCUAUUAUGCAGAAGAAAAAUUGUUAAGCUCAAGGGGUGUUAAUUUUUGUUGAAAAGAAAGGAGCUUGUUGGGUGCAGAUAUUGAGCAGAUACUCAUGGAAGCGCAGCACAGAUUGACAGCAAUGAGGAUAAUUUGUGGGAAGCUAACUGUAGAGAAAAGAAUGAAGAAAUUGUAACCAGUGGAAUGAAAUUCUUGAACUGUCUGUGGACACGAGAAGAGAGGGAAAUUGUCGUUUUUAGUCACAGCAACUUCUUGCACUAAACCUUUGGUGUUUUUGGCAAUGAUCGUCAUCCAUCUGUGAAGAGUGAAAUAUGCACACAUUGCAGCUUUCCGAAUUGCGAGCUCCGGUCCGGAGUUUUGGUUGAUAGAUGCAUGUUGGGAUCAGAUUGUUCAACGACCAACUAUCCUAGAAAAAUCCCUAGUGGACCUGAUCUUCCCAGCGAUGUUGCCAAUGAGAAGCUUUCGAAUGACGCAGCAGGCAAGUAGCUAUUCAUCUGAAGAGAUGAUGAAGUGGGAGUCUGAGUUUGAUAUCUGCAGUAUGAUCUUCCUUCUUCUUAAAGUAUUCAUGUCUGACAUAUAUUCAGAUACGAGU